AAAAAAAUAUUUUGCAAGGAGCACUGGGCUUGCCACCAGUGAACACCAUGGGCAACGAGGGUCCCCUCCCUUACUUCUUCGUCGGAGACGAGGCCUUCCCGUUGAAGGAGUACGUAAUGCGGCCAUACGCAAGACGGACACUGCAUGAAGACGACGACAAGUCCUACGAGCGUCGCGUCUUCAAUUAUAGGAUGUCCAGGGCACGCCGCACUAUUAAGAAUACCUUUGGCAUUCUGGCACAAAGGUGGAGGGUGCUGUGCCGACCCAUUAAGGCGAAAGAAGUCAAUAUGAAGGCAUACAUCGGAGCAUGCAUAGUGCUACAUACCUUUCUCCUUAAGGAGUCCACAGCAUCCUCCACUGUCCUAUUGCCCCCCUGGUGCCACAGACAGCGAGGACUGGGAAGGACAUCUUUCACCUGAAAGCUGGAGGGACGAGGAAGCAGCCGGCGGAGCGCUCAUACCAUCAAGGCCUACCGGCUGCAAUGCUGCGCGAUGUCGACACCAGUCUCCUCAGCCGUAUCAGAGGUACGUUCAGGUUCCGCUGCAUGGCUUGGCCGAGGCGGUGAACUGCAGUGAUGAAAACUUCUCUCUGUGUAUUUGAUGGUGCCACUAGUAUAUGAACUGUUUUAGGCAUUCUUUGGGAGUUAAAAUGACAAUAUGAUUGCACUCAACACGAGGUUUAAUCAUCAUAAGAAGUCGCUUGCGUUCUUGAUUAAGCACUGCUGUAUAGAAGGUGUGCAUACAGAAGUUUAAUGUGCCUAUUAUGUUAAUAAAAUGCUAUGUAGGCUGCACAUCGAAAUGAGAACAAGAGAUAUCUCACUGGCUAUGUGAAUGAAAUUUAUACAGUCAAUCUUAAAUGGCUGUGCAACGAUGUGUCUGAUGAAACUGCGUGUGCUGUCAUUAUGCUUCUUGAACACAUAUUGCUUACAACUUUCGCAGCAUCAUUUUGCUGCUACAAAUGAGUGAAUGGUUCACAUUAUUCAGCUCACUUGUAUAGCAAUCAGUGCUGGGCACUUGUUCAUAACGAAAUGACAUGAAUGUGUUGCCAGUGUGUGUAGAUAAUGCAUUAGUUUGCUUAAUUGCAGCCUGUCACUGAUUAAUACUUUGCUUUUUCAGAAAUAUUUAACGUUGCACAAUAACCACAUUCACACAGAAACAAUGCCUGUGCCCUCAUGUAUUCUUGUCUGCUUCUGUUCAGUGUUGAGUGCUGAAUGUAUUUUAAAAAAUGCAGUGGUUAGGGCAAGCUAAUGAAUUGAACACCAUUUUUCAAACAUGCUUGCGUUUUUCAUAAUUUUGCAAAGUACAAUCAUCUAGCAAUAAAAAGUAAUGUUUCUAGGUCCAAAUCCAUGCGUGUAGAACUUCAAGCGCAUGCACAUGAUACCGAACAUUUUUGUGCAUGCUCACCUCUCGUUAGCCUCAUCUGCUAUUAUGUGGCUGCUGCAAGAGAACAUGCAAUAUGCGAUUAUAUCAGUGCUAUUGUGUACAUCUUUAGAGCAUUUUUACUGUUUUGUUACAAUAUACAUACUCAAGCUGCAUUCUUGUAAUGAAUAUGUGUAAUGCUUGCCUAUGAACAGCCUCAUGACACAUGCAAUAAGCGAUCUCUCCAGAUAUUUAGAUUUUAUAUUAAGCCUUCUUUCUUUCGGUAACUGAGAACUGUGAAUGACACAGAAGUACACUCAAUUCUCUCAUUCUUGGUGUUCGAAGUUCUGUUUUGUGAAGCUGUCCACAUGCCAGUUGUACGGUAUGCUAUAUUUUUGUGUUGUUUUGAUGCAUUGUGCUAUGCUAACCAAAAGAUUUCAUUUUUUGUUCAAUGAAGGGUAAGCAUCAUUCAUUACCUUUGGUCAAUGGCACUCAUGUUGCACAGUACCCUGAAAGAAUGAUGCACAGAGUUAUUCUUCAUAGCUGUAUCCGCAAUUAUUCGACAUUAAAACAGCCCAUUGCCACUA